rnacentral:rRNA from 1 species
GGUUAAGCGACUAAGCGUACACGGUGGAUGCCCUGGCAGUCAGAGGCGAUGAAGGACGUGCUAAUCUGCGAUAAGCGUCGGUAAGGUGAUAUGAACCGUUAUAACCGGCGAUUUCCGAAUGGGGAAACCCAGUGUGAUUCGUCACACUAUCAUUAACUGAAUCCAUAGGUUAAUGAGGCGAACCGGGGGAACUGAAACAUCUAAGUACCCCGAGGAAAAGAAAUCAACCGAGAUUCCCCCAGUAGCGGCGAGCGAACGGGGAGCAGCCCAGAGCCUGAAUCAGUGUGUGUGUUAGUGGAAGCGUCUGGAAAGGCGCGCGAUACAGGGUGACAGCCCCGUACACAAAAAUGCACAUGCUGUGAGCUCGAUGAGUAGGGCGGGACACGUGGUAUCCUGUCUGAAUAUGGGGGGACCAUCCUCCAAGGCUAAAUACUCCUGACUGACCGAUAGUGAACCAGUACCGUGAGGGAAAGGCGAAAAGAACCCCGGCGAGGGGAGUGAAAAAGAACCUGAAACCGUGUACGUACAAGCAGUGGGAGCACGCUUAGGCGUGUGACUGCGUACCUUUUGUAUAAUGGGUCAGCGACUUAUAUUCUGUAGCAAGGUUAACCGAAUAGGGGAGCCGAAGGGAAACCGAGUCUUAACUGGGCGUUAAGUUGCAGGGUAUAGACCCGAAACCCGGUGAUCUAGCCAUGGGCAGGUUGAAGGUUGGGUAACACUAACUGGAGGACCGAACCGACUAAUGUUGAAAAAUUAGCGGAUGACUUGUGGCUGGGGGUGAAAGGCCAAUCAAACCGGGAGAUAGCUGGUUCUCCCCGAAAGCUAUUUAGGUAGCGCCUCGUGAAUUCAUCUCCGGGGGUAGAGCACUGUUUCGGCAAGGGGGUCAUCCCGACUUACCAACCCGAUGCAAACUGCGAAUACCGGAGAAUGUUAUCACGGGAGACACACGGCGGGUGCUAACGUCCGUCGUGAAGAGGGAAACAACCCAGACCGCCAGCUAAGGUCCCAAAGUCAUGGUUAAGUGGGAAACGAUGUGGGAAGGCCCAGACAGCCAGGAUGUUGGCUUAGAAGCAGCCAUCAUUUAAAGAAAGCGUAAUAGCUCACUGGUCGAGUCGGCCUGCGCGGAAGAUGUAACGGGGCUAAACCAUGCACCGAAGCUGCGGCAGCGACACUAUGUGUUGUUGGGUAGGGGAGCGUUCUGUAAGCCUGUGAAGGUGUACUGUGAGGUAUGCUGGAGGUAUCAGAAGUGCGAAUGCUGACAUAAGUAACGAUAAAGCGGGUGAAAAGCCCGCUCGCCGGAAGACCAAGGGUUCCUGUCCAACGUUAAUCGGGGCAGGGUGAGUCGACCCCUAAGGCGAGGCCGAAAGGCGUAGUCGAUGGGAAACAGGUUAAUAUUCCUGUACUUGGUGUUACUGCGAAGGGGGGACGGAGAAGGCUAUGUUGGCCGGGCGACGGUUGUCCCGGUUUAAGCGUGUAGGCUGGUUUUCCAGGCAAAUCCGGAAAAUCAAGGCUGAGGCGUGAUGACGAGGCACUACGGUGCUGAAGCAACAAAUGCCCUGCUUCCAGGAAAAGCCUCUAAGCAUCAGGUAACAUCAAAUCGUACCCCAAACCGACACAGGUGGUCAGGUAGAGAAUACCAAGGCGCUUGAGAGAACUCGGGUGAAGGAACUAGGCAAAAUGGUGCCGUAACUUCGGGAGAAGGC